rnacentral:tRNA from 1 species
GAGGGUAUAGCUCAGUGGUAGAGCGUGUGCUUAGCAUACACAAGGUCCUGGAUUCAAUCCCCAGCACCUCCA